GUGUGAGGAAAGUUCAAGAGGGGAAAAAAUAAAACACUAGUGACAUAAUUUAAGAAAAGGAUGAUUGCAAUGCAUCCUGAAGCUGCCUAUCUCCAAAUAUUCUCUCCUAUAGGCAGGGCCAACAGGGAAAAGAGUUCUCCUGCUGCACUUUUGGAUUUUCCUCUUGAGCAAUGCUUAUGCAACUACAGCUGAGAAUUACUGCCAUGAAGUCAGUCAUCGAUGUUAUGGAAGCUUCCCUCAACAUUUGAGGAGUAGUACUUCCCCUGCAUUAUAAACUUACACAAUAAAAACUUACAAAAAUAAGUUAAGAAACUCUUCUGUAAUUAAAAGAUAACUAUCUGUGGUCUUCUUUGUCACAGUUAGAGUUAAUGUUUCAUCUACUUAAUAAAGAUGAUUUAUUUUGGUGCUGUGAAAUAUGACCAUAAUAAAGAUGGUUUACUGUUGUUUCAGUAAAGGUCGAUUGAAGCGACGCCACAAUCCUUGUAAUUGUGACACUUGUUCCAGACAUUUAUUGGUUGUGACUUUCCUUUUUCUCCUCUUCUUCAUUGCCUGAGUAGCAUUUAUCUGCAGAAUAUAAGAAUCAAUAGUCAAAAUUACUUUUCACUAUCUUUAGUAACUGUUGAGAGCAGGUUUAAUUGCCUUCUCUAUGCAAAUCCAUCUUUCAGUGUGUCUCCAAAGCACCUGCUUACUAUGUGCUAGCAUGUGCCUUUUCCAGGGGAAUGCCUUCCUGUUUCUGUACCCACCUACUUUUGCUUCAAG
rnacentral:lncRNA from 1 species